AUGAACACAUACACACACUGCAUACACACACUGCAUACACACAAUACAUACAGACACUGCAUGCACACACUGCGUACAGACACAAUUAAACAUACAUGCACACACUGCAUACACACACUACAUACACACACUGCAUACACACACUACAUACACACACUGCAUACACACACUGCAUACAGACACUACAUACACACACUGCAUACAGACACUGCAUACAGACACUGCAUACACACACUGCAUACAGACACUACAUACACACACUGCAAACACACACUACAUACACACACUGCAUACACACACUGCAUACACACACUGCAUACACACAAUACAUACAGACACUGCAUACACACACUACAUACACACACUGCAUACACACACUGCGUACAGACACAAUUAAACAUACAUGCACACACUGCAUACACACACUACAUACACACACUGCAUACACACACUACAUACACACACUGCAUACACACACUGCAUACAGACACUACAUACACACACUGCAUACAGACACUGCAUACAGACACUGCAUACACACACUGCAUACAGACACUACAUACACACACUGCAAACACACACUACAUACACACACUGCAUACACACACUGCAUACACACACUGCAUACACACAAUACAUACAGACACUGCAUACACACACUACAUACACACACUGCAUACACACACUGCAUACAGACACUACAUACACACACUGCAUACACACACUGCAUACACACACUGCAUACACACACUGCAUACACACACUGCAUACACACACUGUAUACACACACUGCAUACACACAAUACAUACAGACACUGCAUACACACACUGCGUACAGACACAAUUAAACAUACAUGCACACACUGCAUACAGACACUGCAUACACACACUGCAUACACACACUGCAUACAGACACUACAUACACACACUGCAUACACACACUGCAUACAGACACUACAUACACCUGUGGCGGCAGGUACCUUACUGGUUAGAGCGUUGGACUAG
rnacentral:lncRNA from 1 species